rnacentral:lncRNA from 1 species
AAUACAUCCUUAAGUACUUGAAAAGUACUAAAGAUUUGCUCCUGAUCUUUGAAGAAUAGACAGAGUUGAGAGUGGGAGGAUAUACGGAUGCUGAUGAUAGAAUAUCUAUAUCAGGAUGUAUUCUCAUAUAAUGUUGGUUCGGCAUGUUGGAAAGGUUCCAAACAAUCGAUCAAUGGAAGUUGAGUAUGCAAUAGAUAUGUUGGAUGAAAUCUAAUUCUUUUGCUAGUUACAGAACUAGAUAUCAUUUGAUGCCAUGAUACUAUACUGUAAAGAUAAUGGCCCC